CAAAAAGACAGUGUGGUGCUUCUGAAGGAGGAAGCUGGUUGUAAGCGAAGGGUUCGUGAUGAUGCCAAACCACUGUCGGUGGUAGAUGAUGCCUUGCCGAUUGAAAAGUUUAAUUGCCCUGUUUCGUUCAACAUUGCAUUCAAAGAAAUAUCUGAUGACCUCAAGUCCUACCCUGCACUACAGUUUGGUGAAAUGAAAGUGUGCAGUCACAAAAUGGAGAAAACUGGGCGCAAGCGAAGGGUUCGUGAUGAAGCCAAACCACUGUCGGUGGUAGAUGAAGCCUUGCCGAUUGAAAAGUUUCAUUGCCCUGUUUCGUUCAACACGACAUUCAAAAAAAUAUCUGAUGACUUCAAGCAAGUCUCCGUCACCCUGGAUGUGGAAACAGCGCAUCCGCAGCUCAAGGUGUCUGAGGA